UACGUAGGGGGCGAGCGUUGUCCGGAUUUAUUGGGCGUAAAGAGCUCGUAGGCGGUUUGGUAAGUCGGGUGUGAAAUCUCCACGCUCAACGUGGAGGGGCCACUCGAUACUGCCAUGACUCGAGUCCGGUAGAGGAGUGUGGAAUUCCUGGGUGUAGCGGUGAAAUGCGUAGAUAUCAGGAGGAACACCUGCGGUGUAGACGGCUUUCGUGGACCAUUGUUGACGCUGAGACACGAAAGCGUGGGUAGCAAACAGG
rnacentral:rRNA from 1 species